GCAGCCAAAAUUGUCAUUGGCUACUUAAUUUCAGAUGUGGAGUGAAAUCUAGCUAGCUAGCUAGCUAGCCCCCUCCGUGAUAAUAGAAACAGCACAAAGGCACUAUGAUUAUGUCAUUAUUUGUGGGGAGGUUCACGUGCUAACAUGCCUGCUGUAUCUGCAUUUCUAUUUUGAAGUCGGGAAAUAUAGAAACGCAGUCCCCUGAUUUUUGCAGCUAUGGCUCUAUCCAGUUUUGUGGAUGCCAGUCUACCAGAAACAAUGCAAAAUUGCAAACUAGCCACCUACGCAGCAUCGCUUCAGACUGGCGAAAUUGACGUACGUGAACCAACCCAAUUCCUUCGUCUCAGAAAUGUGUCGUCACACAGCCCGAACAGCAACAACAAACAUGGAGGAAUAUGCCCGUGAACCUUGGGCUUUCAGCACAGACUAAAAGGUAGUGCCAAUGCUGUGAGAAUAAGAGCUCCACAGAUCGGCGGUAGCUUUGCUGUGUGGGGUGGACUUUUCUCAACGAUCGACUGUGGUCUGGUCCAUAUUCGAGGGAAAGAGGAUCCCUGGAACUCUAUAACUAGUGGAGCGAUGACUGGGGCAGUCCUGGCUGCACGCAGUGGGCCCUUGGCUAUGAUGGGGUCAGCUAUGAUGGGGGGCAUCCUACUGGCCCUGAUCGAGGGCUUUGGGAUCCUUCUGACCAGAUACACAGCACAGCAGUUUCAGAACCCAAGUCCCUUUGUGUAUGACCCCAGCCAGCUUCCUCCGAAGGAUGCCAGCCAACAGCAGACUGGGUUCCAGUAGAGCCCAACUUGGUCUGGAGCUAAUGAGCCUAGCUACAGCCCUGCAUACUGUGACAGUCUCUGACUAGAGAGGAGAGAGGCGCUCUGUCACCUGACCACACAGCUGUCAGCAACCUCAGGGGAAUGGAAAUAUCUAACCUAAGCCCCCAUCCUCUCAAUGGCAAUAAGAAUGUAGAUGCACUUUAGUGUUAUUCCUCAGGGCUAGAUUACAGUUGAUUUGAGUUAUUUAUGAAUAUAUGUUUGUGUAUACCGGUACACCAGUGUUCCUUCUGACUAGUCCCGAAUAAUACACACUUUUAUCAGAUACAUUUGUGCCCAAACCCGUCAUUUCAUGGUGACUGUAAGAAUGUUGGUGCUUUAUUACCACAGCUACAGAAAUAGAAUGGGUAGCUGAAAAUGUAUAGGCAUUAAUACAUAGGAUUAGAAAUUGCCUCAGUCUUAUCAGAAGUGUGUCAGGUAUGGCACAAUCAAUGUCGUUCAAAACGGAUGUAUUUUCUCUUGCUUGUAAAAAUGCAAUGCACUGAGGGAGGAGAACUGCACUAUCAUUUAAUUUCCUCUCCUCUUUUAUAAUUGUAUGGCUUAUAAGGGUCUAAAUCACAUCACAAACGCACCAAUGAUUUGUUUCCAUUUGUGAAACUCAGAUAGCUGGAAUGGAAUGUCAUGACCAAAUACAGUCACAGCUCAUUUGUUCUGCUGUUUAUGUCACUACCUUCAUUGGAUGCCUGCCAUUAUGCCAUGCAUUACUAGACAUUCCCGCUAUCUAAGCACUAUAAGGUCUAUCCACUUUGAUGAACCAAAGCACUUUCUUACUCCAUCUCUCUGUUAUUGUGUUGAGAAAAAUUAGAUGGGUUUUGUGACACAAUGAAGAUAUGUUUUGUAAUGUAUAGAAUGCUGUACAAUAGUUGUUGGUUUUAAUGUAUUUAUGAUGCAGAAAAAUAAAUGUUUACAGUGUAAUUGACUGGAAAAAUUA